rnacentral:antisense_RNA from 1 species
AGCGAAUCACUCAGGUAUUCGGUACGACAUUGCUCACAUUGCUUCCAGUAUUAUUUGCCCGCACUCUGUGCGGGCUUUUUUU